rnacentral:rRNA from 1 species
CACGUAGGGCGCAAGCGUUGUCCGGAAUUAUUGGGCGUAAAAAGCUCGUAGGCGGUCUGUUGCGUCCGCUGUGAAAGUCGGGGGCUCAACCCUCGGAUGCCGGUGGAUACUGUCGGGCUAGAGUGCGGGAGAGGCGAGUGGAAUUCCUGGUGUAGCGGUGAAAUGCGCAGAUAUCAGGAGGAACACCAAUUGCGAAGGCAGCUCGCUGGAACGUUACUGACGCUGAGACGCGAAAGCGUGGGGAGCAAACAGG